GUUACGUGAUACCAGAUUAUUUUGAAAAAAAUAAAAUACAAAAAUAAUCAAACGUAACCCACCGGGAAGCAGUAAGAGUUUAGAACCCUAAACAUUUUCACGCAAACCCCUCCUCAAAUCCUGCGCUCGGUCUUGAUUUUUCGUCGGCCGUCGCCGAACUCCAACAGUUGUCUCUUUGUCGGAGUUUCCCACCACCAUUCCACCGCCGCGCGCUGGUCACCCACGACCCACAAAGAAACAAAGGUACGAGCCACGAUCCCUCAAAGAAACAGCAGCGGAGCAACCAACAGGUUUUGAAUUCGUCAUCGGCUCGUGUCCCUCGCUUCUCCGUCACCGCGCCACCGCGUCACUGGCCGACUCUCCGUUGCUCGUCGACUCGUCGUUCCUCGCCGACUCACCGUUGCAGAAUGGGGAGGAGAAGAAGGACAUUAUGUUGUUAUCUCUUCUUACAGGAAAUCUUCUCUCUCUUCAAUUCCAUCAAAGUUUUUAAUCGAACUGCUAUUCACUCUUUCUGUAGCGUUUUUCUUUCGCGAAGUUAUGACUCUUGAUUUCAUUUUGGUACUCUGAAUUUAUGUGGGUUUUGAUGUAUUUUCGAUUGGUUUGAAAUUGGGUUUCAAAUAUUAUUUUCUGAAAUUAUGUCGUUAGUUUCUCGUAUAUGGGUUUGGUAAAUUUGAUAGAUUUCUGCAAAAUUUUGUACUUUAAGUGAAGAAUGCAAAGGUAAUGACAAUGGCAGAGAAGGUGUGGUGAUGGGUUAAGUGAAGAAUGCAAAGGGAAUGGCAGUGGUUCUGAAAUACAGGAUGGUAAACAGAAGGAGAACGGUAGAUGAAAGGAUGGCAUGAAGGGCAUAGAUUGAAGUUCUUUUGGACUGAUUUGGGCAAAUAAAUUAAAUACUAGAUAGAUUUUAGAUUACUUAAACUAUUAAUUCUUUUUGGAGAUUCAUUAGUUUACUUAAUUGAUGUUUUUAUAUUAUAACAAUGAUUUUUUUUAUUAGAAUGAUUGUUAUGGAUAUUUUAUUUAAUAAUACGUAUAACUUACAUCGAAAUAAAUGUUUUCUA